CCUACGGGAGGCAGCAGUGGGGAAUAUUGCGCAAUGGGCGAAAGCCUGACGCAGCGACGCCGCGUGGGGGAUGAAGGUCUUCGGAUCGUAAACCUCUGUCAGCAGGGAAGAACGGUCACUGUGCUAAUCAGCAGUGAAUUGACGGUACCUGCAAAGGAAGCACCGGCUAACUCCGUGCCAGCAGCCGCGGUAAUACGGAGGGUGCGAGCGUUAAUCGGAAUUACUGGGCGUAAAGCGCUCGUAGGCGGUAUGUCAAGUCAGGUGUUAAAGGCGCAGGCUCAACCUGUGUAUGGCACUUGAUACUUGCAAGCUGGAAUGCGGUAGAGGUAAAGGGAAUUCCUGGUGUAGCGGUGAAAUGCUUAGAUAUCAGGAGGAACAUCGGUGGCGUAAGCGCUUUACUGGGCCGUAAUUGACGCUGAGGAACGAAAGCCAGGGUAGCAAAUGGGAUUAGAUACCCCUGUAGUC
rnacentral:rRNA from 1 species